GGGUCUGUAGUCUAGCGGCUAAAAGAAAAAAAAGAAAUAUUUCCGCAAAUGACGUCGCCUUCACAUGGCGGAGGUCAGGAGUUCAAGUCUCCUCAGACCCA
rnacentral:tRNA from 1 species